CCUACGGGAGGCAGCAGUGGGGAAUAUUGGGCAAUGGGCGCAAGCCUGACCCAGCAACGCCGCGUGAAGGAAGAAGGCUUUCGGGUUGUAAACUUCUUUUCUCAGGGACGAAGAAAGUGACGGUACCUGACGAAUAAGCCACGGCUAACUACGUGCCAGCAGCCGCGGUAAUACGUAGGUGGCAAGCGUUAUCCGGAUUUAUUGGGUGUAAAGGGCGUGUAGGCGGGAGCGCAAGUCAGAUGUGAAAACUCAGGGCUCAACCCUGAGCCUGCAUUUGUAACUGUGUUUCUUGAGUGCUGGAGAGGCAAUCGGAAUUCCGUGUGUAGCGGUGAAAUGCGUAGAUAUACGGAGGAACACCAGUGGCGAAGGCGGAUUGCUGGACAGUAACUGACGCUGAGGCGCGAAAGCGUGGGGAGCAAACAGGAUUAGAUACCCCGGUAGUC
rnacentral:rRNA from 1 species